CUUUGAUGUUAGACUUUCGUUGUGUGCAGGUGUCCUUGUCAAGCCAGUCGAACAAGGUUGCAGGGCCAAGGACAAUCCUAACCUGUCCGAAAAGGCUUCGGAUUCUGUGACGUCAGUUUGUACAGGGAUUCAAGAUGAAUCCUAUUAUGCCCACGUUUUGGGAGAUGCAUUUAAAGAAUUUAAACAGAGAUUGAUCCGAUGAUACAACCGAGAGAGAGAGAGAAAAUCAACCCAACCCGGG